rnacentral:rRNA from 1 species
AGAGUUUGAUCCUGGCUCAGAACGUACGCUGGCGGCACGCCUAAUACAUGCAAGUCGAACGAAGUAGCAAUACUUAGUGGCAGACGGGUGAGUAACAUGUGGGUAUCUUCCCUUUGGUGAGGAAUAACACGAGGAAACUUGUGCUAAUACCUCAUAAGUCUUUACGGAGAAAGCUUUAUGCGCCAUAGGAUGAGCCCGCACUUGAUUAGUUUGUUGGUGGGGUAAUGGCCUACCAAGACAAUGAUCAAUAGCUGAUUUGAGAGGAUGAUCAGCCACAUUGGGACUGAGACACGGCCCAAACUUCUACGGAAGGCAGCAGUAGGGAAUCUUGCACAAUGGAGGAAACUCUGAUGCAGCGAUGCCGCGUGAGUGAAGAAGGCCUUUGGGUUGUAAAGCUCUUUCGUCGGGGAAGAAAAUGACUGUACCCGAAUAAGAAGGUCCGGCUAACUUCGUGCCAGCAGCCGCGGUAAUACGAAGGGACCUAGCGUAGUUCGGAAUUACUGGGCUUAAAGAGUUCGUAGGUGGUUAAAAAAGUUGGUGGUGAAAUCCCAGAGCUUAACUCUGGAACUGCCAUCAAAACUUUUUAGCUAGAGUAUGAUAGAGGAAAGCAGAAUUUCUAGUGUAGAGGUGAAAUUCGUAGAUAUUAGAAAGAAUACCAAUUGCGAAGGCAGCUUUCUGGAUCAUUACUGACACUGAGGAACGAAAGCAUGGGUAGCGAAGAGGAUUAGAUACCCUCGUAGUCCAUGCCGUAAACGAUGUGUGUUAGACGUUGGAAAUUUAUUUUCAGUGUCGCAGCGAAAGCAAUAAACACACCGCCUGGGGAGUACGACCGCAAGGUUAAAACUCAAAUGAAUUGACGGGGACCCGCACAAGUAGUGGAGCAUGUGGUUUAAUUCGAAGAUACGCGCAGAACCUUACCAACACUUGACAUGUUCGUCGCGACUCUAAGAGAUUAGAGUUUUCGGUUCGGCCGGACGAAACACAGGUGCUGCAUGGCUGUCGUCAGCUCGUGUCGUGAGAUGUUGGGUUAAGUCCCGCAACGAGCGCAACCCUUACUUUUAGUUGCCAUCAUUUAGUUGGGAACUCUGAAAGAACUGCCAGUGAUAAGCUGGAGGAAGGUGGGGAUGACGUCAAGUCCUCAUGGCCCUUACGUGUUGGGCUACACACGUGCUACAAUGGCAUUUACAAUAGGAAGCAAGACGGCGACGUCAAGCAAAUCCUAAAAAAAUGCCUCAGUUCGGAUUGUACUCUGCAACUCGAGUACAUGAAGCUGGAAUUACUAGUAAUCGCGGAUCAGCGUGCCGCGGUGAAUGCGUUCCCGGGUCUUGUACACACCGCCCGUCACACCAUGGGAGUUGGUUCUACCUUAAGGCAAAGCUUAAAACCUUUGACCACGGUAUAGUCAGCGACUGGGGUGAAGUCGUAACAAGGUAACC